rnacentral:rRNA from 1 species
GAUGAACGCUGGCGGCGUGCCUAAUACAUGCAAGUAGAACGCUGAAGGAGGAGCUUGCUCUUCUGGAUGAGUUGCGAACGGGUGAGUAACGCGUAGGUAACCUGCCUGGUAGCGGGGGAUAACUAUUGGAAACGAUAGCUAAUACCGCAUGACAACAGUUAUUGCAUGAUAACUGUUUAAAAGGGGCAACUGCUCCACUACCAGAUGGACCUGCGUUGUAUUAGCUAGUUGGUGGGGUAACGGCUCACCAAGGCGACGGUACAUAGCCGACCUGAGAGGGUGAUCGGCCACACUGGGACUGAGACACGGCCCAGACUCCUACGGGAGGCAGCAGUAGGGAAUCUUCGGCAAUGGACGGAAGUCUGACCGAGCAACGCCGCGUGAGUGAAGAAGGUUUUCGGAUCGUAAAGCUCUGUUGUAAGAGAAGAACGAGUGUGAGAGUGGAAAGUUCACACUGUGACGGUAUCUUACCAGAAAGGGACGGCUAACUACGUG